UAGAUGCAGCGAGCAAUGGUA
rnacentral:siRNA from 1 species